rnacentral:misc_RNA from 1 species
AGAGCUCGAGGAGGGGAAGCCGCCAUGGGGACGAAGGCCGAGCAGGGGGAGCUUGCGGCUGGAGGAGGGAGCUUCGGGGAAGGGAGAAACCGCGGCCAGGAAGCGGGCGUGAGCGGAGGGAGAGAGACAGGGCGUCGAGCAGGACCGAGCGCCAUGGGAGAGAGAAGAUCCGGGCGCUGGAAUCCUAGCAAGGGGAGGCGCCAUGGGAGAGAGCAGAGGGAGCGCCGUGAGGGAGCUACCAUGGAUGAGGGGAGAUGUGAUGGCGCACAGGAAAGGAGAACCGAGGAGCAGAGGCUGGGGGCGCGCCAUGGGGGAAACCUUGAAGGAUCUGCGUGCGUCCAUGGCGAGGAGCUGGAGACGGCGAGCCCGCGCGCACAAAGAAGCAGAGCGCGCAGAGGAGGGAGGAGCGGCUGGGCGCGCGGCAGGGAGGGCCAGGGAGGAACGCCGGCGAGCGCAGGGGCUUCGCGCGCGCAAGGAGGACGCCAUGGAAGGGAGCUUGGGGGAGGGAGCCACGGCGUGCAGUUUGGGCGAGCAGAGCGUGGCGUGCUUGAGGAGGGAGGGAAGCAAGGGCCGAGCGGCGCUGGAGGAACCGAGCAGAGCGAAGGAGAUAAGCG